UGGCGGUGGCCGGGGGCGU
rnacentral:misc_RNA from 1 species